CUAGCGAGACUGCCGGUAAUAACCGGAGGAAGUGGGGAUGACGUCAAAUCAUCAUGCCCUUAUGACCUGGGCUACACACGUGCUACAAUGGUUGGUACAACGAGUUGCGAGUCGGUGACGGCGAGCUAAUCUCUUAAAGCCAAUCUCAGUUCGGAUUGUAGGCUGCAACUCGCCUACAUGAAGUCGGAAUCGCUAGUAAUCGCGGAUCAGCACGCCGCGGUGAAUACGUUCCCGGGCCUU
rnacentral:rRNA from 1 species